GGGGACACUCAGCCAUAUCUGGAGACAUUUUUAGUUGUCAUGAUUCAGGAGAAUGCUACUGAAAUUUGGGCUUUCCUGCUUGGUCUUUCUCAUAGGAAUACACAACUCGUGGAGCCGAGAUGCAUGUACAAGCAACUUCUGCCCAGUUUUUGCUUUCUGUGAAAAAACUACCACUGUUCUUGCCCACUGGAUAUAUCUCAAGCACAGGAAAAGAGACAUUCACAUACCUCAAAGUCACAUGCAAAGGUGAUUGUGGGCUUGCUGAAAAAGCGGCUUUACUGCAAAAGAGUACACACAUCUUUGAAGACAGAAUCUGGCCAUAAGCUUCUUGGAGGGGAAAAUUUUCAAUCUCCUGAAUUCACAGCUCAUGUUCCUUUCUCUGUGUCAUUUUUAAUGUAAUAGUUAAGAAUUUGGGCUUCAGGUGAAAUUGACUUGGGCUCAAUCUCAAUUCUAUUCUAUGACUUUGAAAAAUCACUUUAUUUUUAUUAUUUAUUUUUUUA